UGGCGGGCAGUCAUAGAUCCCCUGAGUCCACGCACAUAUUCUGCUCCUCUACAUUUCAUUAUUACUAAGUAUUACUAAUGAUGAAGCAAAUAAUAUAAUUGUUUUUCAUAUGAUAUCGUCGGAAACCGCUUAACAAGUGUUAUGGUGAUUGGAAGUGUAUGGUGCAGUCAUAACCGAUAGGAUACGUCCGUUAUAACCUCAAAUAUAUAUACAACAAUUCGGAGCAAUGCACCAUAAUUACAAUUCUAUCAAGUUCUUUAGAACUAAGUGAUUCCGUCUCUACUCAUAAUAAUGCAUGGAGAACGAAAAUCUCAACAAAUGCAGCUUAAUUGGAAUCAGCAGAACAGGAUUUCAACAGUAAUGUUCUGUACCAUUGAGCUUGCAGAGAAUUUUUGGUCAAUGAGCCAAAAACGACACACCAGACACUGAAUCUAUCCUCAUCCAAAACUAAUCACCCACAACGAUUGAAGAUGUGGUUUUAAUGAACGCCUUCAUAGUAUUAUACUCCACGGAAGUGUAGAAACAAUGUAUCAAGUUGGCGACAAUUUCUUGAUUACAUCUCCAGAACCUGGCAACGAUGAUUCUGAACCACGAGAGAGGGACAUUUCUGGAUACGUCAUGUCUCAUACGCACUUAUUUUCAAAAUACUAUCAUCACUAAUAAAAAAUGAGAGAAUUCAGACUCAAGUGUUGUCUUGAAACUUAGCAAUAUCAUGCGCAUUUGUACAGAUCAGUGAGCCAAAGUGGAGUCAAAUACCCAUCAUGACCUAAGAAAAGGGACAAUAAGAUGCUGUCAUCUAAGUAGGAAAACAUGAACGUUUUGAUCAGACGACAUCCCUAUCAGAAUUACACUUUAGUGAUCACAGAUAUUGGAGCCUCUACGCAGUGCCUGUGCCCAGCAGAGGAUUUUGGAAAUCAUAACCAUGUGCAAAUUCAGUUUUCUUCCAUAAUGGGUGUAUUAAAAAAUUUUGUAAUCCAAAAAUGAUAGAGAUUGACUCAUUAAAAAUCAAUUACAAUAAUUAUUUGAA